rnacentral:rRNA from 1 species
ACGAACGCUGGCGGCGUGCUUAACCCCUGCAAGUCGAACGGAAAGGCCCUGCUUUUGUGGGGUGCUCGAGUGGCGAACGGGUGAGUAACACGUGAGUAACCUGCCCUUGACUUUGGGAUAACUUCAGGAAACUGGGGCUAAUACCGGAUAGGAGCUCCUGCUGCAUGGUGGGGGUUGGAAAGUUUCGGCGGUUGGGGAUGGACUCGCGGCUUAUCAGCUUGUUGGUGGGGUAGUGGCUUACCAAGGCUUUGACGGGUAGCCGGCCUGAGAGGGUGACCGGCCACAUUGGGACUGAGAGACGGCCCAGACUCCUACGGGAGGCAGCAGGGGGGAAUAUUGCACAAUGGGCGGAAGCCUGAUGCAGCAACGCCGCGUGCGGGAUGACGGCCUUCGGGUUGUAAACCGCUUUCGCCUGUGACGAAGCGUGAGUGACGGUAAUGGGUAAAGAAGCACCGGCUAACUACGUG